rnacentral:lncRNA from 1 species
GUGAGUGUGUCUGGGGGAACGAUCGAACAAGGAAGGAGGAGGGGGAAACCCUAAACUCAAGAAAUCAGGCAAUUGAAGCCUAAAAUCAUAAGAAAAUCCAGUGCAUGAGCCAUCUUAUCGAUCAUCUAAGCAUACCUAGUGAAGUGCUUGAAAGAAUAAGAACCAUGUCAAGAUGGACCAACUCAUGGGAAGCAAACGGGUCAAAGAGGAGGCAAAGAAACUAGCAUAAACAUGACGAGCACAAGGUUAUGAAUGUCGGACUUUCAAAGUGUUGAUAUAAUAAUGAAACGGUUGAAUCUUGAAAGGAUAAUCGGAUUGAAGUAACUUAUGCGGUUAGAAUAUGCUGUGGACGUUUUAGUUUAUACAACAUUUUAUGUUUGGUCGUCAUCAUCUACCAACGGGUUAGUUGUUUGAAAAUAUAUGUCAUACCCAUUUAAUUGGGUAAUCGAAUGCGCGAGAGAAAUGAAAGUACAUACACGAAUGGAACUAAAGUGACGGUUUUAUAAGUAAAUAAGUAAAUGACUAACUUUUUAAAGCUUUGUUGUUGAAUGUAGGUAAAUCCUCAAUUCAGGCGACUUGGAGAAUCGGAGCGAGCGCGUGUUCAUGUUAUGUCAUACCAAACGCUUCCGCUAGCUUGUUCAAAUGUUUUUAGUCCAAAAUUUGUUGUAUUGGUUCUUAGUAGUAUUUUGUCGAAUGAAUCGUAGAAUUGUAUCUAGUUUGAUUAUGUUUAAAACAGGGGAAUGCUCGUUUUAUGGACGGGUCAUGCCCAAUUUUUGUUAAAUUAAUGCACCUGCGUUAUU